GCCGCCCCUGGGCGCCCGGCGGGGCCCGGCCGGGAGCGGGGUGCGGGUCUCACCAUCCCGGAGCAGAGGCUGAUGACGGCGGUGAGCCGCGGGCGGGCAUUGACGUGCCCCCGGUAGAAGCAGUGCUUCACGUCGGCGUCGGCCGCCUCGGCGUACAGGCGCCGCUGGUCGGCGGCGGGCUCUCCCAGGAGGCUGACGGUGAAGAGCGGGGCGAUGAAGGCCGAGCUGGCCGUCAGGUUGAAGAGGAACUGCUGCCCGAAGGCGGACAGCCUGUAGUGCGCCUUGGGGGAGGCGGCGGCGGCCGCCGUCCAGGCGUCGGGGGCAGCGCUGGUGCUCCGCCGGCGCCGCCUGAAGUGGACAUCGGUGGGGAAGGGCUCGCCGAACUCAUUCACCCGGCUCGAAGAAGUGGACCAGUAAUCGAAGAAUCCCCCCGUGUGACCCUUCUUUCAGCAGUUGUUUUCUUCUGCAUUUCUCAGAUAAGAGACAAAUCAAGCAAGUUUUGUUUAGGGUUAUAUUUAUGUUGUGCAGUUUUCAGGCACCCUGAGGGAAAAGAAAGAGUAUUUCCUUAUCUGAGUUUGUUUUGUUUUACAAUUUGAAAGUUUUCUGUAAAAAUUUAAGACAUCCUUCAGAAGUAAAUGUAGUUAAGCAUUGUCUUCUACCCCUUCCUCAAACCAAACCCCCAAACCUUGGUUUAAAAGGCUUUUAAACCUUCAAAGCCUGUAGGCAAGGCAAAAGAAAAUAGAUAUCUGGAAGUUUGAUUUGCACUUCCAUAGAAAAUUUCUAAGUUCUGUACUUUCUUCACUUGACUUUGGGACAAAGAACAGAAUGCCAGUAUUUGCUGCAGAAAGGGAAAGCUUUAAAAUAAAAAUCAAUUCAGGAUCUACUUCCGGGCAAAAUAUCACCUCCUGGCUCUUCAAAACAACUGAUGAAUUCCUAGAAACCUCAACUGUUAGCAGUAAAUUAUUAAUUUUGUAUGAUGAAUAUAAAAGUCAGAGUAAGCAAAGCACCACCUGUAAAGCUGUGCAUCUUCAACCCUACAGUUGACUCUCUGGGGGUAGGAGGGCUGGAGGCAGGCCCUCAGCAGUGCCUGAUUCUCCAGGAUUGUGGAGACCCAAGUCAAGACACCCUUGGGGCAAGGUGUAAUGGCACAUAACCUCCCCAUGUAGCAUCGUGCCCACGCUUAUAAAGCAUGGUUUAAUUAAAGUUUCGGAUGCUUUCAAUAAGAUAACUCACCCAUAUUGGCUGGGAGGUGUUGACAAAGCUCAGGUGCUUCCAGAGUGGAGUUGCCUUGUGUGCAGACAAGUCUGACAGCAGUGUUGGGUCUUCUCACCAUGUCCAGCCUUCGGCCUGGUGUGAGCAGCCUGAUGGCCUCUGAGUUCUGGGGACAGAGUUGUCCCCUGCUUCCAUGGUGAGUGUGUAGGAGGGGUGAUGUGCCCAUUCUGGUAUGUGUCAUCUACUGCCAGGAGCAAGUUUUCCCAAAACCAAAGAUGGUUGUGUCCCAAUGCACUCACCUGUUUAUGAGUGAACCUGGACCAGAUUUGCUUUUCUUGCUGCAAAGGGCCUUGCACAGUAACAUUUUCCUGUCCUUGCAGCUGAUUGCUCAUCCACACAUAUUAAGAAAGAAAUCAAUCCUCAGAAGAGGAGCAAGACCAAACUGUUGUAAAAUAACGUCAAUCUGUAAAGCCUGCCACACAUCCCUGGCUUGUAUGGCCUUUCCUGGCUCAGCAUGAAAGCAUGUGGAAUUCCCAUCUAUCCCACACCAUUUUGUGUCCCAACUGAGUCGGAAAAGGCACCAAAGUCUUUAGGCUGCUGGAUGAACAAAAAGGGGAAUCUCAUAACACCAUCAUGUAGCAGCCCAGGCUUCCUUCCAGGUGUGUUUUCUCACCCUGAUCCUUUUUCUUUCUUUCUUUGUCUCAUCAAAUAAAUGACUUGACUCAUA